rnacentral:rRNA from 1 species
CCUACGGGAGGCAGCAGUGGGGGAUAUUGCACAAUGGGGGAAACCCUGAUGCAGUGACGCCGCGUGAGUGAAGAAGUAAUUCGUUAUGUAAAGCUCUAUCAGCAGGGAAGAAAAUGACGGUACCUGAGUAAGAAGCCCCGGCUAACUACGUGCCAGCAGCCGCGGUAAUACGUAGGGGGCAAGCGUUAUCCGGAUUUACUGGGUGGAAAGGGAGCGUAGACGGCAGUGCAAGUCUGGAGUGAAAGGCGGGGGCUCAACCCCCGGACUGCUCUGGAAACUGUACGGCUGGAGUGCAGGAGAGGUAAGUGGAAUUCCUAGUGUAGCGGUGAAAUGCGUAGAUAUUAGGAGGAACACCAGUGGCGAAGGCGGCUUACUGGACUGUAACUGACGUUGAGGCUCGAAAGCGUGGGGAGCAAACAGGAGUAGAUACCCGAGUAGUC